rnacentral:rRNA from 1 species
CCUACGGGCGGCAGCAGUGGGGAAUAUUACACAAUGGGCGCAAGCCUGAUGCAGCCAUGCCGCGUGUGUGAAGAAGGCCUUCGGGUUGUAAAGCACUUUCAGCGGGGAGGAAGGCGGUGAGGUUAAUAACCUCGUCGAUUGACGUUACCCGCAGAAGAAGCACCGGCUAACUCCGUGCCAGCAGCCGCGGUAAUACGGAGGGUGCAAGCGUUAAUCGGAAUUACUGGGCGUAAAGCGCACGCAGGCGGUCUGUCAAGUCGGAUGUGAAAUCCCCGGGCUCAACCUGGGAACUGCAUUCGAAACUGGCAGGCUAGAGUCUUGUAGAGGGGGGUAGAAUUCCGGGUGUAGCGGUGAAAUGCGUAGAGAUCUGGAGGAAUACCGGUGGCGAAGGCGGCCCCCUGGACAAAGACUGACGCUCAGGUGCGAAAGCGUGGGGAGCAAACAGGAUUAGAUACCCCAGUAGUC